rnacentral:rRNA from 1 species
AACCAACAGGGAUUACCUCAGUAACGGCGAGUGAAGCGGUAAAAGCUCAAAUUUGAAAUCUGGCUCUUUUAGAGUCCGAAUUGUAAUUUGUAGAAGAUGCUUCGGGUGUGGUUCCGGUCUAAGUUCCUUGGAACAGGACGUCAUAGAGGGUGAGAAUCCCGUAUGUGACUGGAUACCUAUGCUCAUGUGAAGCUCUUUCGACGAGUCGAGUUGUUUGGGAAUGCAGCUCAAAAUGGGAGGUAUAUUUCUUCUAAAGCUAAAUAUUGGCCAGAGACCGAUAGCGCACAAGUAGAGUGAUCGAAAGAUGAAAAGCACUUUGGAAAGAGAGUUAAACAGUACGUGAAAUUGUUGAAAGGGAAGCGCUUGCAAUCAGACUUGCACUUGGUGUUCAUCAGGGUCUCGUACCCUGUGUACUUCAUCAAGUUCAGGCCAGCAUCAGUUUGAGUGGUUAGAUAAAGGCUUAGAGAAUGUGGCCCUCUUCGGGGGGUGUUAUAGCUCUAGGUGCAAUGUAGCCUACUUGGACUGAGGACCGCGCUUCGGCUAGGAUGCUGGCGUAAUGGUUGUAAGCGACCCGUCUUGAAACACCNGCCA